AGAAUCUUUUACUAUAAAAAUGCAGGGGCAGAGCAUUUUAAGGGAAUAACAAUGAACUGUCAAAUGUAUCAAAGUUCUGCUAAGACCGAUGCACUUAACAAGCACUGCUUCAGGGGAUUUUUUGGGGUAGAAGCCAGAUUACAGCAAGUUGAGAUUUUAAUGGAAGGUAAAAGAAGUGUCUUAGAAGAAAAUAAAUCAUGAGGCAAAUCAAAUCAAGAACAAAUAGUCAGUGUUUGGUAUGAAAUCUCCCACUAGUACUAUUAACCCUAGUGGCUCCAAUUUCCAGGAUUGGGUGCUUAUCUCCCCUGGUGCAGGAAUAAAGGUAACCUAGAGCCUUAAUCCAGAGUUGGCUAAGUAGGCAUGACAGCAGAUGCAUGAACACUUUGCAUUACAUUAAAGUUGACUGAAUAUGUACCAUCAAAAUAAAUAAUGUGGUGGCCCACCACUUGUAUUAUUUACUAUACAGGUGCUCCAUAUAUCAAUAGUUUUGUUUGCAUGUAGUUUUUUUCAGCAUGGAAAAAGAACCAGG
rnacentral:lncRNA from 1 species